CAAAAACAAACAAGAAGAGGAUAGAGGGACUCAAGUAAGUUACAGCAAACUACUGGACACUGAAAUCAGUAAGUUUUUGCAUUUAUUACUAUAAAACAUGUCCCAACUGCAACACUCAAGCUAAUAGCUAACAAGCUAACACGGCAGCAAUGGCAUCAAACAGCAGUAGUGCUGUUUUAAACACAGAACACAGAAGCUUGAAGAUCAACAACUGUUUCAUGAUGUCUACACACUCUGAAACCAUUGACUACCCCCCAGCUAUCAAAAGCAAAACUGCAAGAGGAAAAUAUAAACAAACAAUACUCAGAGAAAGACCAGGAAUCCUGUUCCUGGACCACUAUGGAAGAUCCUGCAAUUUAAUCUUCUGGACUGAUGAACCAUAUGCUUGGCUGAAUGUGUUCAGCUCUCAUUACCCAACAAUAAAGAGAGCAGGUAUUUGUAAUGGAUGGAAAAUAAGUGUACUGGAAGAAAAUGACUCUGACACCAGCAGAAUAACAGUAAACCUGUCCAAAAAUGGAACUGCCAUGAUACAAGGCGACCUGAGACCGAUUGAGCUCAACUUUCCUGCUAUGAGACAGAGCUGAGAAGGAGGUCCUCGCAAGCAUCGCUCCAACCCUGGGAGUCAAACCGUCCUGUUCUGUCCCUGCUCCAGACAGACAGCCUGCAGAUACUGACACUGAUCCUCUCCUGCUACAGCACUCUGAGGCCCUGGACAUCAUGAGAGAGCACUUCUCCCUGAUGGAAAUAGAACUGGUACAGAUCAGAGAGCAGCUGGACCAACAGCAGCCUACCUCUCCUACUGUCAGUGACUUCAAGGCCAAGAAAGAACAGGACAGUGUCAACUCACAGCUGAGUUUCAACAAGAACUAAAACUAACUCGUCAGAGAAGACAGCUGGAUCAUCUCAGUGAGGAGGUGAAGGAACUUAGGAAGGACAGAAACAACUGCAAAACUGAGUUGGCUACUCUGAGAGAAGAGCUACAAGACAGGGACAGGCUCAGUCUACAAGCCAGACUGAACUCCACACAACCCCCUGUACCUGCCUCGCAGAUCCAGACCACAUCCAGCCAAACUCCCACUACACCUGCUGAAAGACAACACAGCCCUUUCCUCGAGGACCCCCCCCUCUCACGCAGCCUGGUGCAGACUCUAAUCCCCCCCCCUGUACCAACCAGCUGCCUCCAUACAAACAUCCCAAGCCAAGACGCCAGUCACAACCCUGCACCUGUCCAAGGGCCGGCCUCUAGCCAGCCUCCAGCUAGGAGCUCCAGACCUGAAACCACCACCACAGCUCCACAUCCAGACCCGACAGCUGAUAAUGAACAAACACACACAGACAGAAGGGCUGACAUUAUCCUCCUCAUGGACUCUAAUGGAAAGUUCCAGGAUGAAAAGACCUUAUUUCCAAGGCACAGAACGGAGAAGAUCUGGAGCUGUUAACAGUGCCUGAGCUAGGCUCACCUAGCCACAUCAUCAUCCAUUCAGGCACCAAUGACUUCAGGUCCCAGCAGGACAGACUGGCAGACUCUCUGAGGAGAGUCAUUGAGCAAGCCUCCACCAAUUUCCCUACAUAUCCACGCUGCUGCACUGGAGAGACUUCCACCCCCACACCAUUCAGAUGAAGUCGCAGACAUCAGCCCAAGGAUCGGUACGUGAUGUCAUCGUGACACGCAAGUGCUUCUGCAGGCUACACAUACAGGGCCGUGUGUGGCGGUGGCGUCAUUUAGAAUUAGAAUCAGAAUUAGAAUCAGCUUUAUUACCAGGUUAAGAAGUAAGCCUCAAAGUGAACCAGAAUGGACAAUACCAGGCUCCUGGAACAGAUAAACCUACAGCCAAAAUCUAUGUUAUUAGUUAUAGCUGCUGUUAUAUUGUUUUCCUGUGAUAAUGGUCUAUUAUUUUAUGAUUACCUGCAACUGUAACAAAAUGUUUUUUUUUAUUUUAUUGUGUUAUACUAUUAUAUGAGGGUCGCUGCAGAAUGUUUAUUAUACAGAUUGCAGUCAAAAAAGAGGGACAGGUGGUAAGUUUUGGAACAAAUCUUUAGAAUUUUAUUCCACAUACUGCACUUCAGGUGUCUGCAUUUGAAUCACAUCUAUCACAAACAAAAAAUGCCCCAGGGUACAAAUAAAUACACUUUUCAGUGAACAGAGA